rnacentral:rRNA from 1 species
UACGUAGGGUGCAAGCGUUGUCCGGAAUUAUUGGGCGUAAAGAGCUCGUAGGCGGUUUGUCGCGUCUGCUGUGAAAACUCGGGGCUUAACCCCGGGCCUGCAGUGGGUACGGGCAGACUAGAGUGCGGUAGGGGAGACUGGAAUUCCUGGUGUAGCGGUGAAAUGCGCAGAUAUCAGGAGGAACACCGGUGGCGAAGGCGGGUCUCUGGGCCGUAACUGACGCUGAGGAGCGAAAGCGUGGGGAGCGAACAGGG